rnacentral:misc_RNA from 1 species
GAUGAAGAACGCAGCAAAAUGCGAUACUUGGUGUGAAUUGCAGAAUCCCGUGAACCAUCGAGUUUUUGAACGCAAGUUGCGCCCGAAGCCUUUUGGCCGAGGGCACGUCUGCCUGGGUGUCACGCAUCGCGUCGCCCCCCACAAUUCUCUGUAAAGGGAACUUGUGCUUUGGGGGCGGAUAUUGGUCUCCCGUGCUCAUGGCGUGGUUGGCCGAAAUAGGAGUCCCUUCGAUGGACGCACGAACUAGUGGUGGUCGUAAAAACCCUCGUCUUUUGUUUCGUGCUGUUAGUCGCAAGGGAAACUCUAAGAAAACCCCAACGUGUCGUCUUUUGACGGCGCUUCGACCGCGACCCCAGGUCAGGCGGGACUACCCGCUGAGUUUAAGCAUAUCAAUAAGCGGAGGA